ACCACAUACAAACACAAGAUGGAAAACUGGCAAUACAAUCUAGCAGGAUUAGGUUCACAUGAGUCCAGCUGUGUUUGCUCUGAAAGGUCUAGUGAAAUUAGUGUCAAAGAGAGAUGUGAGAAAGAGAGACAGAAAUGGACCUAAACAUUCUGAAAAAGACAGAUCUGGUUGUAGCUUUCAACCCUCCCAGACGACAGCUGUACCAGGAUUUACUUAAUGGGGUAACGGCACAAACACGCCAUUCUUGAAUGCUGGCAUCACGGCACAGUUUCCAAUCUUGAAGCCCACAAAAAGGCGAGAUCGCUACAACAAGCUGCUUCUGUUCCCAUCCUUCCCUUUAGUUGGCGGCGAUGACUUCAGUUCUGCUAACUGUUAUUCCCCAGGCCUCGAUUACCUAAUCAGAGACGUCUGUGUUUGCUCACGCCCCAACACAUCAAACCGACAAUGAACUUUCACAAUUUUGCAUAUA